CCUACGGGUGGCAGCAGUGAGGAAUAUUGGUCAAUGGGCGCGAGCCUGAACCAGCCAAGUAGCGUGAAGGAUGACGGCCCUACGGGUUGUAAACUUCGUUUAUAAAGGAAAAAAGUGAGGCAAGUGAGCCAUUUUGUAUGGACGUUAUGAAUAAGGAUCGGCUAACUCCGUGCCAGCAGACGCGGUAAUACGGAGGAUGCGAGCGUUAUCCGGAUUUAUUGGGGUUACAGGGUGCGUAGGCGGGUCGUUAAGUCAGGGGUCAAAUGGAGGGGCUCAACCCCUUCCCGCCAUUGAAACUGGCGCUCUUGAGUGGACGAGACGUAUGCGGAAUGCGUGGUGUAGCGGUGCAAUGCAUAGAUAUCACGCAGAACCCCGAUUGCGACGGCAGCAUGCCGGCUUCCGACUGACGCUGACGCACGAAAGCGUGGGGAUCGAACAGGAUUAGAUACCCCAGUAGUC
rnacentral:rRNA from 1 species